rnacentral:lncRNA from 1 species
GCAGGGCCCGGCAGUGCUCUGAGCAGGGGAGCAGCGGGAGCGCGGGCCUGACGUCGGGCGGCGAGCAUUUACCCACCCGGAGGGGCGGCCGCGCCUGGGCCGUGCCCGCCGGGAGAGCAGUGCCAGGCGGCCACGGAGGAGCCGCUGUCUGGCUGCGUGGGGGCCGGGCAGCUCGGGCAGUCCGGAGCCCGCCCCAGCGCAGGUUCUCUGCGACCAGGAGCAGGCGAGAGGGCCCUGCCGGUCCCCGCUGAUUCCCCGGGGCUGCUCCUCCCCGUCUCUUCCCAGGACGGGCGGUCCUCGCCUCUGGGGAUGCCCAUGCCUGAGGUCAGCUCAGGCCGCAGUCGGCCGGGUGCGAGGCAGCCCUGGCCCGCUCCUUCCGCCCGGCCAGCGGACCGGUCCUCAGGGCUGUGGAGCACGGAGCGCGCUUGGUAAGAAAAUUAACACCAAGCACUGGGAUGGGCCACGAGCUUCGGGAACUGAACCCGCGGCCUCCUUAGCGCGGCCACGAAUUUCCCUGCUCGGCCUCAACCGCGCCCAGCUCAGCCGCGCAGCCGCUGCUUCUCUCAGAUCAGGGAAAUCACCUGGACAGUCUGCACCGAGCACCGGAGCGCGCAGCGUCCGGGAAAGCCGCAGUUUAACCUUCGCGUCUUCGUUGUCUGGGGGCGCAGAGGCCCAAGGCCUCCUGCCUCCCGCAGGGCCACACACAGCACCCCGUUUCCAGCACAUGCGCCAGACUCCGAGAGGACGCCUGUCCCCGUGGACGCUGCCUCUUCUUGUUCUCUGAGGCCUGAAAAAAUGGGGUGAAAAUGGAGCUUUUCCAGAAUGUCCUGUCUUCCAGUAGACGCAGAAUUCAGAAACUGGAUGCAGAUGUUCAUCUUGAGGCUUUUUCUUUACGUCUUCUUGUGCUGGGAGCGCUGCACUUGUGGGCUGUCUGUGCGGACACAUGUCAAUGCCACAAGGCGAAUGCAGCCCGUUGAACUGGGAUUCAAGCGUGAUGCGAAAAAUAGCUGCAGUUUUGACUUUUAAGGAACUCUUUAUUUCCUUUCUCCACCGACAACGUCCAGUUGUAAUUCUGAAAUUGCACAAGCACAGCACAGUGAACUCGCAGAAUGAGCUUAAUGUCCCGGAGCGGUCCAAGCCGAACACCACAUCACUCUGCGCAGUUUGGCGGGCGGGAGCG